ensembl:lncRNA LINC01792 long intergenic non-protein coding RNA 1792
AACAUCGAUCUAACCACGACAAAACAAUAGACAAACUCAAAAUGGGAGACAUUGGACAAGAUAACUGGCCAAACUCUUCCGAAGUGUCAAAGUCAUGAUGUCAAAGAGAGAGGGGAGACCUGAUUCCUGCUCCAGGACACCUCAGAGACAGGACAACUAAAUGAAAACCCAGCUACAGCAGAUCAGCAAGAGAAUCAGGCUGUCUGGUUUGGAAAAUAAAUUUUGACACUGCUCUGUCCUCCCUGUCCUGUAACAGGCCAACCUCCCGAAGAUGCAUAAAGACACCUUUGCCGUUGACCAGGCAGACCCUGCAUCCACAGGACAUAGAGAGAAAGGUGCUCCCUGAACACUGAUCUGGAUAAGCAUUGCUGGGUCAGUGCAGAGGCGUCCAUUUCCCCAGUCUGCCGAGCUGGCCUAAAGCUGAGGACCUCUUAGUGGGAGCUGAGGACAUGUGCCUGAAGAGGCAAGCCCUUGACUGAUGGAAAUUGGAGUCUGAGUUCCAUGUGGGGGACUGGGAAGCACAGCAAGGUCUGAAAUGGGAGACCCAGGGAAGGGCAGAGAGGACCAAAGGAGGAAGGGGGUCUACAGUGUGGGAAACAGCCUGGACGCAACAGCCGGGGGAGGAGGCCUGCUCUGGCCCCAGUGGCCCCUUGUAAGCAGGAAAGGCAGCUGGCUAGACCUCUUCUGUGUUAUUCACUCUGAUUUUAUCCUUUAUCUUCCCCUCCCAACCUCACCUCCUUUCUAACCCCAAAGCCAUGCAGCUAAUAUGACUAAGAUUGCUGGGCGUUUGCUUGGAAAUGCAAAUGAGAAUUUCUGGUAGUUUCCUAGUUUCCUUGAUCUCCUUUGUCAAGUUUAUUGAGGGGAAAGGACUCUCGGUUAAAAAAAAAAAAAAAAGAAAAUCCAGAUUUUGAACACCAGCUCUCUUUAAUGCCAACUUCCUGAGGAGCUGCCCAGCUCUGUAACAACCUGGAACAGAGGCGCCAUCACAGACUUGGCUCUGACGGGCGGCACAGCAAGAAGCCUUGCUCGCGUGUGGGACGUGCCCGUUCUGGCCUGGAGAGAGGGCCCAGAGACACCACCUCGCCACCGCCACCUGAUUACUCAUUGUCACCAAUGAGAUGACAAGAACUGAUGACGCAUUUCCCUUUUGCUGCACUCUGACACCUCAGAGACCACAGCAGAGAAAAAGCUGCUUUUGUAAAACUGGAACAUGAACUACGCGGACGCCCCAGAGGAGGUCUCUGCUGCCCUCUGUUGCUGGCUUCUUAGUAACCCUAACCAUUUUUAAGAAUACAGUAUUUGGUUUCAGUAACUUUAUUACAUGAAAAGUAUGCUCGGAGGAAAAAAUGUGUCAAAUUUAAUCAGUCGUGGGUACUAUCAACAUUUUAAAUUGUUGCCAAUCUAAUAGAGGAAAAUGGUAUCUCAUUGCUGUUUUAAUUUUCAUUUUAAAAAUUCUAAGUGAGGCUCAAAAUAGUUUAUUUUUCCAGUUUCCUGCCAGUGGGUAUACUUUUCUUUUUUUGUUUUUUUAAUCUUUUUUUAUUGAUUUAGAAAAGUUUUUGCUGUAAAUGCGUUUCUUUUUAUACUAAUGCUUUUCUCUGUUAUAUAGUCAAAUUUAUCAGUCUUUUCUUUAUAACUUCCGGCUUUCAUGUUCCUUAGGCUAUGGAUUUUUUUAAAUGCAUGCAUAUAUUUAGUAUAGUUUUUAGUAUUUAAAACUUUAAUCAAUCUGGAAUUUAUUUUUAUUGUAAAGUGGGAAAUAGAAGUACAGCUUUAUGUUUCUUUGUUUUUAAAAUGGCUUGCAAGUUGUACCAAUAUUCUUCCUUAAAUGCUCCAUUUUAUGGCUUACUUGAAGUGCAUUUUUGCUUCUAAUGAGACCUGACUUUCUGGCCUAUUUCAGGACUUUACAUUGUUCUGUUGGUCUGUUUUUCUCCUCCUGUAUCAGUACCUAUAAUGUGUAACUACUAGACAUGUAUUAAUGUAAUAGAAUACAUUUCAAUAUUAUAUAGGGCUAGUUUCCCCUCUUGACUAUUCUUAUUAUACAUUUUUUAUCUUUCUAGAUAAACUUUAAAAUCAAGUUUUUAAAAGACACUGUUGAUGUUUUGAUUGGGAAUGUGUUAUAUUUAAUUUAUAAGAGAAAAUUGAUACUGUUAUAUUUUGUGUCCUUGUAGCUAAGGCUUAUGUCUUUCCCUUUUAAAAUUUGUCUUUUUUUAAAGUUCACCAAUAGAUUUUAAAAGUUCUUUUCAUGUUGGCCCUGCACAUAUUUUUGUUGAUUUUAUCCCUAGAGUUAUUUUUUGGUUGUUACUAUAAACGGGAACUGUUAUUCCAUUGUAUUUUCUGAUUAUUGCUUGAAUACAGCAUUUCCACAGCUGAUCCUUUCCUAAAAGCUGACACUAUGACAGCAGUUGGAAAUUAAAAAGGAAAGCCAUGGCAAAAGACAGUCACAGCUCCACUUGGCUGUUCUGUUCUUUCAGAAAACGUAGUGACCUCGUAUGAGUACAUCCCCUGAGGUAGGGUCAAAAGAAAGUCUGUUAGGACACCUAAGAGUUUCUUGGAGAUGUCAGGAUAUCCACCGGGGUUCUGAAGUAAAGAUGCUGUCAUUAUUUUAAUAUAAAUGAUCAAUUAUGAAGAUAUAGUUGAUUGGUAUAAAACCAUUUUUAAAAUCUAUAUUGCUGCAUAGUCUUCAGACUUUUAUUUUCAUUGCCGUGGGGAAGUUUGUAUGAAUUAGAGGAGCUCCAUGGUUUUCAUCCUAUAAGGGACUUCAGAAAAAUAGCAUGAAAGCAAAACUGUGGUAGGGUCAACACACGGUGCUCCUUUAUUUGGUUUGAGGUGUAAGUUAAUAAAUCACCUUC